rnacentral:rRNA from 1 species
UACGAAGGGGGCGAGCGUUGUUCGGAUUUACUGGGCGUAAAGGGCGCGCAGGCGGCUAUCCAAGUCAGGCGUGAAAGCCCCGGGCUUAACCUGGGAGGUGCGUCUGGGACUGGGUGGCUAGAGUUCGGGAGAGGAGAGUGGAAUUCCCAGUGUAGAGGUGAAAUUCGUAGAUAUUGGGAAGAACACCGGUGGCGAAGGCGGCUCUCUGGACCGACAUUGACGCUGAGGCGCGAAAGCGUGGGGAGCAAACAGG